rnacentral:misc_RNA from 1 species
UGUAUAUAUAUAUGUCGGAGAUGAAAGGACAUCGGGGCCUUUCCUUUGGAAUGUUUGGAAGGUUCUCAAUACUUUAGUCCCGACUUUUUAUUAUAGCUGUACUUAAAUAAUAAAACUGAGAAAUAGUUGUUUUGGUGAUUUAAUCCGAGUAUGGGUGCCCGAGAUUUGUGACAGUGGGCUUGGGCUCGAAGUGACAUAACGGGUCGCUGAACGUAGCCACGGUCAAGGGAGGGACGUGUAUCUAAUAGAGGUAUGAAGUAAUUAUAUAGCUCUCCUUAAAAAUAAAGAUUGACCCGUGGGUUCCACUUGGAUUAACAUUCAGUCAGAUAAGUUCUACUUGUACUGUGGACAAGUACGUUAAGUCACAGCAGAAUCGCGGAUCAAAUCGCAUUCGUCAUCCCAUUGAUCGUGGAUUCGUUAUCGAACCUAAAUUCAUUUUCAUCGACAUCUCGAUUAUACAAUCGCCGCCAUUACUCGUUAAACUCUGUAAUAAUCACAUUUGUAUCAGUAAAUACCAUCUAUAGUACAUAACAACAACGACCAAUUCACGUGAAGAUUCGUUAUACGCCCCUAACUCUAAUAAGAACCCGACAUAUAUGUAGUAUCGUCGACAAAAGGCCUAAGAUAUCUGCCAAACCAUAAACAAUGCCGCGAGAGCCGCGGCAUCGUCGGGUACAUCAAUGUGUCGUCGGUCUUCUUUUUAAGUGGAUAGUUUUGUGGAAAGGGCCUGCGUGACCCUGGCCACGGGCGUUUCGGGACACGUGUCUCGAACGACGGGAAAAGACAAAGAGACGUUAAAGGCAGUGUUAGUUGAGAAGCCGGAGAAGACGGAUGCAAAAGGUGUGCAGAGUGUGAGUUGAGAAGCGAGAGCGAGCGAGUGUAGAAGCCGGAGAGUGUGAAUCGGGAAGUCGAAAGCCGCGUAUGAAAAUAAGACGUACGACAGCAUUGUAAUCAUUUCGUUGCUUCGAAUAUUAUUAAUUAAAUCAAAACAUCAUUACAUGUCCUUUCCUCUAAGACCCAUUAAGAUACUACAUAUAUAUGUGACGAUUUUCGUCCACGAGACGUUCUCGAACUAAAUGAAACAGAGAACAUCUUAUCAUAGUAACGAAAAUAGACAUGUGCUUCAUCGGAGUGGAAGAAAUUGAGAAGGAAGAUACUUUUAUCGACGACUAGGAUUCGUGUAUGUCCACCUUUAUCAACACUAAUCACAAGCUUCUGUUGCUACUUUCCCCUCUGCUUUUCGUCGUCUGCACACUCACCCCGAGCAGUGCGCUUGAUUGUCUCCAAAACAAUCGAUAAA